rnacentral:rRNA from 1 species
GACGAAGGGGGCUAGCGUUGUUCGGAAUUACUGGGCGUAAAGCGAGUGUAGGCGGUUGUCCAAGUUGGAUGUGAAAGCCUUGAGCUCAACUCAAGAAAUGCAUUCAGGACUGGAUGACUAGAGGACCGGAGAGGAUAGUGGAAUUCCCAGUGUAGUGGUGAAAUACGUAGAGAUUGGGAAGAACACCAGUGGCGAAGGCGGCUAUCUGGACGGUUUCUGACGCUAAGACGCGAAAGCGUGGGGAGCAAACAGG